rnacentral:rRNA from 1 species
AGCUUGCUACCCGCUGACGAGCGGCGGACGGGUGAGUAAUGCAUAGGAAUCUGCCCGAUAGUGGGGGAUAACCUGGGGAAACCCAGGCUAAUACCGCAUACGUCCUACGGGAGAAAGGGGGCUCCGGCUCCCGCUAUUGGAUGAGCCUAUGUCGGAUUAGCUAGUUGGUAAGGUAAUGGCUUACCAAGGCAACGAUCCGUAGCUGGUCUGAGAGGAUGAUCAGCCACAUCGGGACUGAGACACGGCCCGAACUCCUACGGGAGGCAGCAGUGGGGAAUAUUGGACAAUGGGGGCAACCCUGAUCCAGCCAUGCCGCGUGUGUGAAGAAGGCCCUCGGGUUGUAAAGCACUUUCAGCGAGGAAGAACGCCUAUCGGUUAAUACCCGGUAGGAAAGACAUCACUCGCAGAAGAAGCACCGGCUAACUCCGUGCCAGCAGCCGCGGUAAUACGGAGGGUGCAAGCGUUAAUCGGAAUUACUGGGCGUAAAGCGC